GAACCUGCGGAGGGAUCAUUACAGAGUUCAUAACCUUCGGGGUUGAUCUCCCCAUCGUGUCAUCACACAUAUGUUGCUUUGGCGGGCCCGCCUAGCCCACCGGCUCCGGCUGGUGAGCGACCGCCAGAGGACCCCAAACUCUGAAAAUUAGAGUCGUAUGAGUAGUAUAUAAUAGUUAAAACUUUCAACAACGGAUCUCUUGGUUCAGGCAUCGAUGAAGAACGCAGCGAAAUGCGAUAAGUAAUGUGAAUUGCAGAAUUCAGUGAAUCAUCGAAUCUUUGAACGCACAUUGCGGCCCUUGGUAUUAAGAGGGGCAUGCCUGUAAGAGUGUCAUUACAACCAUCAAGCUGUGGUCGGUAAAGGGCGGACCCGGGGACGGGGUGCCCUAAAAUCAGUGGCGGUACCGUGUGGCUGUAAGGGUAGUAAAUCUCUCAAUAAGGAUGCCCGGUGGAUGCUGGCCAGAACCCCCCAUUUUGCCAGGUUACCU
rnacentral:rRNA from 1 species